GACGAACGCUGGCGGCGUGCUUAACACAUGCAAGUCGAACGAAGAGCGAUGGAAGCUUGCUUCUAUCAAUCUUAGUGGCGAACGGGUGAGUAACGCGUAAUCAACCUGCCCUUCAGAGGGGGACAACAGUUGGAAACGACUGCUAAUACCGCAUACGAUCUAAUCUCGGCAUCGAGGAUAGAUGAAAGGUGGCCUCUACAUGUAAGCUAUCACUGAAGGAGGGGAUUGCGUCUGAUUAGCUAGUUGGAGGGGUAACGGCCCACCAAGGCGAUGAUCAGUAGCCGGUCUGAGAGGAUGAACGGCCACAUUGGGACUGAGACACGGCCCAGACUCCUACGGGAGGCAGCAGUGGGGAAUCUUCCGCAAGGGACGAAAGUCUGACGGAGCAACGCCGCGUGAGGGAUGACGGCCUUCGGGUUGUAAAGCUCUGUUAAUCGGGACGAAAGGCCUUCUUGCGAAUAGUGAGAAGGAUUGACGGUACCGGAAGAGAAAGCCACGGCUAACUACGUG
rnacentral:rRNA from 1 species